rnacentral:lncRNA from 1 species
UUAAAUAAAGCAAAGACGCGCGUAGGAAUCUAAACAAAAGUGAAUUUCUAUAUUUUGAAAUAUUUUUCGUUACUCACGAAAAUGGAGGUGCUCUUACACAGAAGACCUCACCCUCCUCCUGUUCAGGAUGUGUGACAAAGAGAAACUAAUUGCUGAACUACGAUCCCGCCUCUCGUCUGUCGGGAGGCUGGAGAAUGAGGAGGAUUUCUUUAUUUCCACUGAAAAAAUGUGAAGAAAAUAUUGUGAGAAGUGUUAAGCAACGAAGCAGAUUAAAACAAUUAUACCAAUUUAAAUUUCUGCACGUAUGUAGUUAGAGGAAAACAAAAUAUAAGAAUAAAAGUGGAUGCAGUUAUGAGAAGUGAAUAUUUGGCAGAGUAUUUAGAACGGUUUGUGACGAGAGAUUGUGACAAGAAAAAUAUAGACUUAGACGAUUGAACUUGGGUUGUUUAGUUUUUAAAUACAGAGAAGCAGAGGACAUUGUAGCAACGUUGACAAUAAAAGGAAGACUG